GGUUUUAGCAGAGAACAAUCGUCACUGGAGUAGUCAUUGUGGACAACUGGGAGAUGAGUGCUUUAGAAACUGGAGCUGAUGGUUAAUCACAGGGACCAACACCAUCAUUAUGCUCAUUAUGACCUGGUCCUGAAUUAACCAUCCCACGAUCACAAUACAGACAACAAGUGCUGCUGGUCUUGAGCAGAGAAGGAGGGGUGUUACAGUUGAGUUCUGUCCCCUCAAAAAAAGAUAUGUUGGAGUCCUGACCCCCGGUGCCUCCGAAUGCAACCUGAUUUGGAGAUGGCAUCUUCACAGAGAGAUGCACACAGGGAGAACACCGCGUGAUGCUGGACAUGCAGAGGAGGAGGGAUGCUUCUGCCAGCCGAGGAACACCAACCACUGCCAGCAACCACCAGCAGCCGGGAGAGAGGCCUGAAACAGGUUCUCCCGCACGGCCUCGGAAGAAACCAACGUGGCCAACACCUUGCUCUCAGGCUGAUUAAUUCCUGUUGUGUAA